CCAAAAAGGACAAAUAUAAUUUUUUACAAAAUAUGAUAAAAAUGUCAUUAUUUUAAAUUUUUACGAUUUCCAUUUUCAGUCAUUUUCUCCAAUAGAUAAAUGACAAGAGAACUUUUUUUGUUGAAUUCUUAUCUAGUUGGUGACUGAGAGUAAAUUUUUGUUUUUCUUCACAGGCUUUUUAGUAAUUGAAUAAACCGAAAAGAACUUAAAGAACGAGAAAAUUUAUAGAAAUAAUUCUGUUUUAAUUUUUAAUGUUUUAUAGUUUAA